AGAAGGUUUUGCUCCUGGGUUACAGGUAAAUAACUUUUUUUUUUUUGAGGAAUGGAGAGGGAAUCUAAAAUCUAAAUUAACAAUGGACCAGCAUUAUCACCAAAUGUGUUUAUUUCAAAUGUUGGAGUGUUCCAUUAAACUACUUACCAAAAGUUCUCCACCAAUUGUUGGCCUGAAAAAAAUAUUCCUGAGUAUCGUGGGAGCAAAU